UUAGCUCAUAUUUGUAUGGAAUGGGAUCGUUUGCCUACGUUUGCCGUUAGGGGCGCUGUUCCAACUGCAUACAAAUUUGGGUUA
rnacentral:pre_miRNA from 1 species